AACUUUUAGAGUUUGAUUCCUGGCUCAGGACCUUAUGUGAUGGAUCUGGCUGGUGCCGAAUUUUCGCCGUUUGUUGGCCCAUUUGCCGGUAAUCCUCAAAUUGACUCGCAAGCCAGUAAGUCGGUCGGACCGGUGGGGCUGCAAAGCGGCUUCAGUUCCUCAGCAAUGCCCCCCCGCCCCAUGCCCGUACCUCGGGCGAAGUUUGUGAGGCAGCUAUCUUUUUCCUGACCGGCGGUUGACUCAAGUCGUAACAGGGUAACCGUAAGAG
rnacentral:rRNA from 1 species